UACGUAGGGGGCAAGCGUUGUCCGGAUUUAUUGGGCGUAAAGAGCGUGUAGGCGGCCUGGAAGGUCAGCUGUGAAAACUCGAGGCUCAACCUCGAGACGUCGGUUGAAACCACCUGGCUAGAGUCCGGAAGAGGAGUGUGGAAUUCCCGGUGUAGCGGUGGAAUGCGCAGAUAUCGGGAGGAACACCGGUGGCGAAGGCGGUUCUCUGGGCCUGUACUGACGCUGAGGAGCGAAAGCGUGGGGAGCGAACAGG
rnacentral:rRNA from 1 species